UUUUUUUUAUUUUUGUUUUGACCUUUGUACUUCUAUGUAAAUUUCAUUAAUACUUUUAUAAUAUCUAAUUUUGAUCUCUUAAUAUUUUAUAUUUUUAUUAAGAUUUCAUUUAGUUUCUUUCUAAUAUUUAUUUGUGGGCCCCCCAUGAUUUUUUUUUUCUAGUAUCACCCGUACAUGUAAUCCAUAAAUGUAAAUCAGCAAACUUAGACUGGCCUGUGUUCCACAUGUCCACCUAAUUCGUUCAGUUUUCCAUUUUUCAUUGGUGUGAUCAUCUUGACUUGUAUAAUGCUUGGAAAACUGACCAAGAUUCCUGCCCCAUACUACUUGCAAUAAGCAUUAAGUUUUACAAGCUCUUUGAAAAUGACAAGGAAAAGGAUACCACUUCAAAGUAGUGUAUUUAAUGGACAGUAAAUUUUGGUUUUUUCAGUGAAAGUGCUCCUGAUGCCAGCUGCAUCAUAGAAAAUUCAAGGACAUGAUCAAUGAAAAAACAUGUAAACAUGUAGUCUAAUGGAUAAAAUUCACUUUCCCAUGUUGUAAAACAAAUUAUCACCAAAGAGUAAAAUCCUUCUUUUUUAUUUUUGUUAGUGAAAUGCUGCCUUGAGGCUAGCAUGCUCCUGGACAGCCCAAUAAGCAGCUAUUAGACAACUCAAACCCUUGAAUUUCAAGGUAAGGAAAGAGCUUGUUACCACUAGAACAGCAGUUAUACCGUUGCAACUGUAGAAGCAUGCUAAAUUUGAAGUACAGGCUAAUAUGAAUCGCAAGAGAGACCAAAUUAGCAAAAAGAAAGAAGUAUCUUUGUCCCAUUCAACAAGGCAAUGGAGCAUUUCCUCGGUCAGGUCUUCCAUCAAACAAUUUGAAAAGUCAAAACCAUUAAUUUCCACAGAUGAUUCUUAUACAAGUUCACCUAAUUCUGGGUAUAUGUGUGGAAUUAUUUCUGAAAUUUUAGAUGAUUUAUAUGAGAAUUUCCGGGAAAAACAUUCUUAGAAGGCACAAACACGUCACAUUCCUACAAGAAGUUUCCUAGCAGUUAGACUCAUCAUGUCAAGAAUGCUGAAUUGACUAAAAACUUCUCAAACCAUUUGCAGAAGGUUGAAGUUUAUUCACCUUUAAUGGGUGAAAGAGAAAGUUGAGCACCAUACUGAUGCAGUAUAGUAAGAUUAGAGUUGGGAGUUUUAUUCAAUGUAAAAUUAGGAAAUUUAAGAAUUUUACUAGGUUUAGAAUUUUAGUUUUAUUAGGCUUUUUAUUAUUUCCCAGUUUAUCUUAAUUUAUAUUCCUAAUUAGAUUUGAAUUUAAGGUUUCUAAUCCUAAUCAAUAAACAGGGCUAGUUUUCCAUUAUUAGUAGGUUUUGUUAUGAUGAUUAUUAUUGAAAAUGAAUAAUAUUUCUUGAGAAUUAGUUUCUCCUUUAAUUUGAGAAUUUGUUUCUCUUAGUCCCUAAAUUUCCUAGUCCUACAUCAAUACAACACAAAAACAAUGUCACUCAGAAGCUGCAAAAGAAUUACAGUGAAAAAGACUCCUGCCAGUAUGAAAGAUUGAGGAAGCUUACCUUUAGAAAUUCUUUGUCCAUAGAACAAUAUAAAAGGUUGACUAAAAACACAGAAGCAUUUAUAAUGAAGAGGGACAAGUUCAAUGUCAACAACCAAAUAAAAUUCAUAAAAACAAAGUCUUGAAUACCAAGAUUUGACUAAAAAAUCAAAAACCUAAAUUUCAGAACACGCUCUCCUGCUUAGUUUUGGCAAUAUCCAGCAACUUAAACGUGUUAUAAAAAAAUAAUAAUAAUAAAAAUAGAUCUAUAAAAUGCAUGGUAAGAAAGUGUUGCAGCGGGAUUAGUGGUAGUGCGAAUUGGGGUAGGCAGGGACUGAAGAAACGCAUCUGCUAACAUCUGGCCAAGCUGAACCUGGGCAGGAGUAGUUAGGUGCAGCCUAUCAGGCUCCAGAGGCAGUCCCUUGGCGUCAACGCAUUGCACGUUAGGAAGGUUAAUUCCCAGUUGAGCUUUUCUUAUAGUCUCAGUGAAAGGUCCCUCUCCUGAAGCCUGAGCCACCUGGAUUAUUGGUAGCAUAGGAUAUUGCAGAUCGUCCCGGACUUCCAUGAAAAACUUCUCUAAUCUCCCCGUGUAAGAAUCAGCAUCUUCUUUAUUAAUCGUGUCGCUCUCCCCUUGAUACCAAAGCAUUGUUCUAAGAACACCGCUGAUCAAGGCUGUUCGAGUCCUCCGCACCAACUGGUCGUAAAGGAAACCUCCUUUCGCCCACUGACUUAUAUUUGUCCCUCCGAUUGCACAUGGCACCAGACCCAUUGCCCCAAUGGUCGGGUCCUUGGUCAAGACUGUGUUAGCAAAUGCCAUCCCCGGUCCAAUCCCAUUGGUCUUGUUAUAAUCAAUGUCGGCGUGGAGAGGUUCGUGGGCUAGGACCCAUGUGAGGUUGGCACUUAGCCGGAAAAUUGAUGGGUUGGGUUGGCACUGGGGAGGGACAAGACCAUCCCAAGUGAGGUUGCCGGUUUUGGUGUCGUUGAUGACGCCUCCACGGCCGGCCAUGUUGCUCUGUCCGGCGAGGAUAAAUAUGUUUGUGGGUAGUCGUUGAGACGUCACCAAGUGGGUUGCUUGUGAUACAAGGGCCAAGAUUAAGAAGGCAAGCAUCUUGGACCUGUAGUAGGAUCCCACUUUG
rnacentral:misc_RNA from 1 species